UACGUAGGGGGCAAGCGUUGUCCGGAAUCAUUGGGCGUAAAGCGCGUGUAGGCGGCUCGAUAAGUCUGCUGUGAAAGUCCAGGGCUCAACCCUGGAAUGCCGGUGGAAACUGUCGGGCUAGAGUCCGGAAGAGGCGGGUGGAAUUCCUGGUGUAGCGGUGAAAUGCGCAGAUAUCAGGAGGAACACCAAUGGCGAAGGCAGCUCGCUGGGACGGUACUGACGCUGAGACGCGAAAGCGUGGGGAGCAAACAGG
rnacentral:rRNA from 1 species